UUGACCUCGAAUCAGGUAGGAAUACCCGCUGAACUUAAGCAUAUCAAUAAGCGGAGGAAAAGAAACCAACCGGGAUUACCUCAGUAACGGCGAGUGAAGCGGUAACAGCUCAAAUUUGAAAUCUGGCUCCUUCGGAGUCCGAGUUGUAAUUUGUAGAAGAUGCUUUGGGUCGUGGGUUCGGCCUAAGUUCCUUGGAACAGGACGUCACAGAGGGUGAGAAUCCCGUAUGUGGCCGAGGCCUGCGCCUAUGUAAAGCUCUUUCGACGAGUCGAGUUGUUUGGGAAUGCAGCUCAAAAUGGGUGGUAAAUUUCAUCUAAAGCUAAAUAUGGGCCAGAGACCGAUAGCGCACAAGUAGAGUGAUCGAAAGAUGAAAAGCACUUUGGAAAGAGAGUUAAACAGUACGUGAAAUUGUUGAAAGGGAAGCGCUUGCAACCAGACUUGGGCGCUGCCGAUCACCCCGAGUUCUCUCAGGUGCACUCGACAGCGCACAGGCCAGCAUCGGUUCGGGUGGCUGGAUAAAGGCCGUAGGAACGUAGCUCCCCUCGGGGAGUGUUAUAGUCUACGGUGCCAUGCAGCCCAGCCGGACCGAGGACCGCGCCUUCGGGCUAGGAUGCUGGCGUAAUGGUUGUAAGCGACCCGUCUUGAAACACGGACCAAGGAGUCUAACAUCUAUGCGAGUGUUUGGGCGUUAAACCCAUACGCGGAAUGAAAGUGAACGUAGGUG
rnacentral:rRNA from 1 species